UACGGAGGAUCCAAGCGUUAUCCGGAAUCAUUGGGUUUAAAGGGUCCGUAGGCGGUUUUAUAAGUCAGUGGUGAAAUCCGGCAGCUCAACUGUCGAACUGCCAUUGAUACUGUAGGACUUGAAUUAUUGUGAAGUAACUAGAAUAUGUAGUGUAGCGGUGAAAUGCUUAGAUAUUACAUGGAAUACCCAUUGCGAAGGCAGGUUUACUAACAAUGGAUUGACGCUGAUGGACGAAAGCGUGGGGAGCGAACAGG
rnacentral:rRNA from 1 species